rnacentral:tRNA from 1 species
GGUAUUGCUUGGGCAACUAGAGCAAUCGGCUCUUAACCGAUAGGUCGGGGGUUCAAAUCCCUCUGAGCCCA